GGGCUAUCACAAAUUUUCGAGUUUUAUACGAGUUUUGAUGCGUCAUUAUGCUUUGGAUAUAGUCACAAAAAAAAACAAAAAUAAGAUUAAGAAAGUUUGAUCAUUUAUCUUGGGGCUGUUUUCAAUAAAUAUUUUAAUUUGUCCACGUACAUCAGUAAAAUCUUUGUCUCUGCAAAGGAUGUUUCAUAAAAUGUUGCUUUUGGGUAUCUUUUGAUGCUUCAGUACUACGAGGAUAUAGCAAUUUAACCAUUUAUAAAAAUGUUCAAGAUACAACUAUAUCUUGUACUUGUGCUUGCUUACACCAAUUUAUUACAAUUCAUACAGUAAUACACCAAAAAUAAUUCUAUAAAACUGAGAGUUACUGACAAUUUUCCGUACAAAACUAUAUUUUUUAUCUAUGAAAGUAUAAUCCAAAUUCAAAUAAAACAUAUUUAAUAAUUAAGGUGGUAUUGUUAUAAAGCUUGAAAAAAAAAAUUGGUCUAUUUAAAAGUAAAACAAUAUUUUAAAAUAAUUUUUGUUUGCAAUGCAAAAAUCAAUAUAAAUCUUGUGACGCGCGGUGUUCAACUUUAGUCAGCGCCAAGCGCUUAUCGAGGGAGGACGUAUCGCUCGCUGUUGCGCCGCGCAAACUCGCCGGAGCUCGAAAAAUAUAGCGCAACCUGCGCAACGAACUCGUUUUGAUACUAGAUAAUGAAAGCAUAUUUAAUUCAGAUUAUCAGACUCAAUCGGAUACCAGUACAAAUAAUAUGGAAAAUGAAGAUACAAUACAUGGAAGACGAAUUAUAGAUUUUAGUUUUUUUAUAAAUCAAUUACUUAUACCUAAUUGAUAAACAUGGUGAAUAGUUUGGUUGUCGAUUAAAUAAUUUAAAAAUUGUAAACGAUUAUUUGUUUAUUGUAACUCAAUCGAGCUAUUCUAGGUUAUAAAAUUCAUCGGUACAAAUAAUAUUUCAUAAACUAUAAAACCAAUAAACUAUUUCGAAAAUAAAAGUGGCAAAGUCUCAAGUUUGUUUGUGCCGCGUGGCGGUCCGCAGGUGUGCGUUGCGUAUUUCACUAGACGCACACGCGCGCAAGUGCUGCCGGCUAUCGUCUAAUUUACCUAAACCUGAGCGAUUCGAUUUUGUAAUAGCGCUCUUA
rnacentral:lncRNA from 1 species